rnacentral:sRNA from 1 species
ACCAUAAAUUAUUUCAUUGCUACUUUAUAACUCUAAUUUUGCUACUGUCACAAAUCAUGUUAUAAAUAUCUGUGCUUUGCUAUGGUCUUGGGUGACACUGUGAAAGGGUCACAUGACCACUGAAAGGGGUUGAGACCCAAGGGUUGAGAACCACUAUAAGAAAAUAAAUAGAAGAACAAAUUAAACCCCCCCCCCCAUACCAGCAGGGCAGAAGUAGAAAUCAAAAGUAGGAAAAGUUACCUAAACCAAAAGCUGGUAUUUGAAAAAUAAUAUUCAUUAAAAAGAGGAAGUAGAUGUAAACUUCAGUCGGCAGACUGUACAGGGGUGAACCCUUGGAGUGGACCUGAGGUGGCUGCAGCUGCUCUAACCCUGAAGCUCUACCAUGGAGAUCAAGGUGCUCUGGGGAUGCUGAGGAAACAGAGGCUGCCUAAGCUACAGCUUAAGAGGAAGCAAGGCACAGGGAGCAGAAAGAAGUAAUAUCUUAGCCCAAGUUCUGGGUCAUUCCUGUAGGGAUAAUCUCUGGAGGACUGUGUGGUAGCAUCACCUGUCAAUAAAAAGCUGAUGGCUAUUAGCAAAGGGCAGGAAAGAGAAAGUGGGAGUUCUGGAAGAGAAACUGAAACUCUGGAAAAGAGUUAGAUAAGGGAAGAUUCGCCCUGGACUCUGAGGAAGUCAGAUGUAUGAACUAACCAGCCACGUGGCAGACAUAGAAUAGUAUAAAUAGGUUAAUUGAGUUACAAGCUAGUGGGAAGCAAUACCUACUAUAAGACCAAUGGCAUUUAUUAAUAUUGUCUUCAUAUCAGUAUUCGGGAACUGGGGAGGGCGCAGAAAAUCCCAGAGUCGUUACAAGUCCAUUCUACAUUGUGUAACUUGGCACUUGAAAAGGCAGAAAAAAAAGAAAGUAGAAGCAAAUUUCCUUAUAUAGAUGGUAAGUUAUAAUGACCAUAUAGUAGAAAGCUAUCUGAACACUGUUCAGCAGAAAUCCUGAAACAGGAAGCUGACAGAAAACGAAGGUUAAAUUCAACAUAGGAAGGAUAAUAGAUUUGGAAAAAGACGAUGAUUACCGAACUAAAAAUGUCUGGAGCCUGCCGUGUUGGCUCAUACGAGCCAUCAAACCGUCAUAGCACUCGGAAGGUUGGGACAGUAGAAUUGCCAAUUUGAGACCAGGCCUGGAUAAACAGCAAGACCUUAGAACAAGUUUUUAAAACCCUGAACAACAAAUGGAACAGCCAGAGAGAAGUUUAGAGGUUGGAAAAAAUUGCAGAACAGAAUUUAAGAUUAUUAAGGGUUGGCUCUGUUGCUAUACCAAAUGAACAGCAGCAAACUGUGAAAUGGGAGACAUCACUAUAGUCCCCACAGACAUUAAAACAACGAGAGAAUAUUAUUAGCAAUUUUUUAAAUGUCAGUAAAGUUGACAACUUAGAUCAAAAGGACACAAUUUCUUAGAAGAACUUAAGGAAGACUCAGUAAUUUAAAACCCUUUCCCAAGGAAAAGUGUGCUGACUUUCAGUAGCCAAAACCUGAACACAGUAGCCAACACCCGAACAGCACUAUGAAUAUUUAAGAAGUCAUACCAGUGAUACACAUACUUUCCCAGAAAUAGGAAACAAGAGAACCCUUACCAUCCAUAUUUACAAGGUUACUGUGGAUUCCAUAUCCAUGGAUUCAACUAGGCGGAAAAAACAUCUGUACUUAUACACUUGUUGCUUUGUAAACAGCCUAUCACAGCAACCAUUUAACUAUUUGUUUUGCAUUUAUAUUACAUUAGAUAUUUGAUAAGUGCUCAAGAGGUGAUUUGUGGUAGACAGAACAAUGAAUGCAGGCUAUUCACAAAUACUAAGCUACUUAUAACAGACAGAAGGAAAUGCAGAGUGCACGGGGUUUAGCCCUCUGUGGUCAGUACCUGAACUCCAAGGGACAGCUGGGUUAGUAAAUAAUAUCAGUUCUACAGAAAGAGUAUGAAGUAAGUCAUUACCGGAUGAGCUUAGCGACUAGAAUGCAAGAUUGGUUCAGUAUUCCUGAGUCAGUCAAUUUUAUUUAUCAUCUCAUCAGACUAAAGAAAAAAAUAUCAUCUCAAUAGAUCAAGAUAACGUAUUUCAUAAUAAUCUAUCACUUCCUGGAAAAACUUUCAGAAAACAAGCAAUAAAAGUUCUUCCACUUGAUAAAGGGCAUUUAUUUAAAAAUAACCUCAUCACUAACAUUGUAAGUAAAAAUGGAAUAUUGAAUGGUCUCUCCUGAAGUCUUAACAAAGCAACAAUGUUGGCUUCACCAUGAUUACAAUUAGAAAAUAUGUCUGUGUGUGUGUGUGUGUGCGCACGCACAUAUAUUACCUCCUGAGACAUCGUGCUGGCCCUUUUGACAUUAGCUUUGAACAUUGUCUGGGAUAUCCUACCUAGUACAUUAAGGCAAGAAAUAGAAAAAAAGGCAUACAAAUUGGAAUAUAAAAUCUAAAUGACUUUAUUCAUAUAUAGCAUGAUAUCUAUCUGGCAAAUUCAAAGGAUACAAAAAGUUGGUGACAACAACUACUGAAUGCUUAGAUAAGCCAGGUUGUGGGCUCAAGAUAUGAACACGGACAGCAAACACUGAACUUGAAAAUUUAUAUGAGCAAUAUGACAAUUGCACUCAAAUAAUUUCAAUUUCUAUGGAUAAAACUAACAAAAGUGCAGAAUUUAUGAGCCGAAAACUCUUAAAAUAUUGGUAAUAGAAAUCGAAUUAGACAAAAACUACUGGUUGCCUACGCAUAGGUUGGAAGACUGGUUACUAUUAAACGCCAUUGCUGCUGAUAGUGCAUGCACUCAGUGAGAUUUCAGGGGAAGACAGUCCGCAUGGCCUUGCUUGGAAGUGGAAGUGGUUAGGUUACUUCUAAAAUGUGCACCGAGAAGCAAGGCAAGUCAGACAAAUUUUGAGAAAGGAAGGAAAGAAGGAAGGAAGAAAGGACAAAAGGAGGGAAGAACAACUAACCACUCCCCCCAAACAGAUCAAAACCCCUAGGAAAAAAGAUGUGAGGACGCAGAUUACUGAGGACUGCUACAAUCAAGUUUUAAAACUCCGUGGUAAGAAAACACAGCAUAAGGGGCAGGUAAGAAUGCUCACUGUGGCUGAAUGGUGGUGGCACAUGUGUUAGCUGUAUUUUUUUUAAGUAGUUUGCUUUUGGUAUGUGUGUAUAUGUUAAAGGUGUGUGUGGCAUGCUCGUAUACAUGUGCAUACUGACAGAGAUAUCCCAAUCUAUCAUGCCCCAUUAAUUUCUUUGAGACAGGUCUUUCCUUGAACCUGGAGCUAGGCCAGCAGCUACGAAGUCUCAGGGAUCCUUCUGCCUUUACCCACUAACAACAGUGGAGGUAGGUGUACCUGUACGGCUACAUCUAGCUUUUAUAAUGUGUGUACUGGAUUCGAACUUAGGUCCUCAUCCCUGCACAGCAAGUACCCCCCACCCACUGAACCACCCCACAGCUGUUUUCUAGUACUUGCGGUCCCUCUGUACUUUGGUUGUGUCUGAAUUAUUAUACACACUGCAGACAGACUUUAUGACUAUAUAUCCUUGCCUAUGAUUGUUACUUCCUGGUUUGUCUCUGUCACUGUUUGUAUGGUACUCAUCCUAAUAGGUGUGAGGUGUCCUCUCACUGUGUGAAAUGUUUUGAUUCACAUUUCACCAUGAUUCACUAAUCACACAGAAUUUUCGUACACAUCUGCUGUCGGCCAUUUGUAUUUCUUUAAUGGGAAAUUUUCUCCUCAUGCUUUUGUCUAUACUAAAAGUAUGUUUGUUUUUGUGUAUCUGCUUUGUAGUUAAGUUAUUGGAAUUCUUUUUGCCUUUGAAUAUUAUUGGCCCCUUAUCAGAUUUUUGGGGUGCAGAUAUUCUACAUUCUGUAGCUCUUUUGCCGUGGUGUUUAUGGUGCAUAAGGUUUCAAUUCUGAUGCAGACUUGUCUGUUUUUGCUUUUUUUGCACAGGCUUCUGGUAUUAUGCUGAAGAAUUCAUAGUGAAGACAAUCAUGACAUUUUUCCAGUAUGCUUUCUUUCAGGAUACAUACACGCAUGUACACACGUGCGCGUUUGUGUGUAUGCUGGGGAUCAAACCCAGGCCUCGCUCAUGUUGGGGAAACAUUCUACUAUUCAGCUACCCACUGUCAGAUGUUACCUUCUUUUUCCCCAUUACAUGAUCUAGCAUUUAUUAGUACAUUGGCCAGGCAAAUACAAAAUCUGUUUUAGGAUUUCAGGCCAUCUCUUAGUCUAGAAAUGGCAAAGCUUUGGUUUGUAAUGCUGAUCACCAUAGAGCUAACCUGGGACAAGAAGGGGCUGAAGGAGAACCCUGUCCCAGCUGACACCUUAUAGUCAAGGUCCUGUUUCUGCCAGGGAGAGGAAGAGCAGGGCGUCUCACCCUCGACAGGAAAGUUCUAUGAUAUAGGCGCCAUCCUACGUCCCAGAGCACAAGGCAGCAGAAUCAGAGUCCCCUGGCCAUUGGGAGGGUCUGAGGACUGUGGUGGUAGAAAUGAAAAUUCACAGCUACAGAGGAGCAAGAAUUGGUGGAGUUUCUAGAUGGGGUGGGUGCACUCUUGGCUGGAAGGAGUGGGUAUGGUCGCUUUUUUUUUUUUUUUUUUUUUUUUAACUGUUGUUGUUACUGUUUUAUGAGUUUGGCCCACGUGUCUUGGAGCUAAACUCUCGAAGUUCUUCCCUUUAGGUUGAAUUUCAAAGGCAAUGUCUUCUGCAGUUUUUCUGUCUGGCUGAAUCAGCCUCCAGCUCUUCAUGAUGUUUGUGGGUUCACGUGAAGGUGCUGUUCUGAGAAAGACUCCAGAGAAUCUAUGGCCUCCUCAGAGGGAGCCUGCUCAGGUAGAGAAUUCUGUUUACUGCAUAAACAAGGGAAGGUUACUUACCAAAUCCUUCCUUCCUUCCUUCCUUCCUUCCUUCCUUCCUUCCUUCCUUCCUUCCCUCCUUUCUUUUCUUUUCUUUUCAGUUUUUCUCCUAGUAAUGUAUUUAUUCCCUUCCUUCUUUUAUAGAACGAUUAGAACAUGAGGACUUGGGGGUGGGGUAAAGGGUAAACAUAUGGGUCAUGGAAGAGAAGACAAGUUCUAGAAAUGGAAUUCUUAAAAAAAAAAAAAGAAAGAAAGAAAGAAAGAAAGAAAGAAAGAAAGAAAGAAAGAAAAGAAAAUGGAAUUCUUGCUUUGCUCCCAAGUAACCCCUCUGGAAAAUGUCUAGAUAGCAAGACUGUCUUUUCAACUCAGAUGGUAAUUGCAACUCUAUGUCUCUGGUCACACUAGAAACAGAGGCCAGGAAAUAAGCUGGAGUUCAGUCUUCAAUCCCUCGGAAUGCUUAGAGGAGGAGGGAGACUGAAGGUAAUACUUAAUUUUGCCAAAGCAGACAUGUAGGGUGCCCAGCAGACUGGAAUCAAUUUCCCCUUUGGUGAGCAAGACUGGGUCAUUUACGCUGAAGAAGAAAUGAACUGUUCUUUAGAGCAUUUGCUUGUUAUGCUCUGUGACGUUCUAAUUUACACAUUAAAACCCCUAGAAAGUAUAUUCCAACUUGGUAAAGUCAGUGGAGGGGCAUAUGAGGCCCAGAGGCUUUUAGGGCAGCGAAGCUAUUAGGUGUGAUUCUGUAGUGACAAACCACACGUUUGUCAGAAAACACUGGAUCAAACACCAAGAGCAAUCCGACCAACAUGGCCUGUGACUUUCACAACAGUGUCACAGUCUCUGUGUCUGCUGCUACUGAUCUAUCUGUACCUAUCUAUAGCUAUAUCCUCAGUAGUCUGUAUUGGGUUAACUGGAGAGAAAGAGGAAGGAAGGGAAGAAAGGAAAGGGAGGAGGUGAGAAUUGAUACAUGGGAAGAUGCGCUUCCUGCCCCAUUUCUCUGUAAACCUAAAAUUGCCCAAAAAAAAAAAAAGUUUAGUAACUGGAAUAAAAAAAAGCUCUUCUACCUGGAAUUUCAUCGCUACCUCAAAUAAGCUGCCAAUGAGAAUCCAGUCAGCCUAAACCACAGAGACGCUGCUUUUUCACGGCUUCUGUACACAUCCACCACAGAUUUGUGACUGUAGAAAGAGCAAAGGCCUGGAUCAAAGCUAGGCAGGGUUGGAGGUGUGACUUUCUCCAUCCACACAGGACAGAGUGAGUCAGCUCACUUAGCUCAGGAGGUCCUUUCUCUUUUCUGUUUUCUUUCUUUCUUUUUUUUAAGAGCUCACUAGCCGUUGGCACUUGGUGACAAUAUGGAUCAAGUAGUUGUGAAUGUGUCCCCUAAAAUGAAUGGCAUUGUAUAAAAGCAUUGUAAAUCAAUAAAAUCACCUGCUCACGGUCACAUAGCUCACUUAGAGGCAACACUGUAACCUAGAUAUCAAGACUCCUACCUAAACUGUUUUCUUUCUGUGGGGUAAGGUUUUGGAGACCCCGCUUUCUCUUUGACCAGAAGCUUAUCCAAGCUGCUUACAAGCGUGCUC